rnacentral:rRNA from 1 species
AACGAACGCUGGCGGCAUGCCUAACACAUGCAAGUCGAACGAGACCUUCGGGUCUAGUGGCGAACGGGUGAGUAACGCGUGGGAACCUGCCCUUAGGUUCGGAAUAACUCCCCGAAAGGGGUGCUAAUACCGGAUAAUGUCUUCGGACCAAAGAUUUAUCGCCUUUGGAUGGGCCCGCGUUGGAUUAGCUAGUUGGUAGGGUAAAAGCCUACCAAGGCGACGAUCCAUAGCUGGUCUGAGAGGAUGAUCAGCCACACUGGGACUGUGACACGGCACAGACUUAGGAGGGAGGCAGCAGGGGGGAAUAUGGGACCAUGUCCAGAAGCCUCAUCCACUAACGCCGCGUGGGUGUUGAUGGCGUGAGCGUUGUAACCCCCUUUUACCCGCGCCUAUAUCUACAGCCCCGGGCGUGUAGCCUCCUCCUAUCUCCGUG